UUUUUUUUGAAUAUUGAUUUGUUUUUUCGUGAAUCAAUAUUCUCAGUUUUUAUUGAUUUAGAGCUCUUAAUUUGUUUACGUUAUAAAUUAAUUCAUAUAUAAAUAGAUAUGAAUUGAUUUAGAUUGAUGCUUUAUUACACUACCUUUUAUGAGAUAACCCAUAGACCUUUACAUAUUAGAAUUCUAUAUCAUUGAUAUUUUUUUCUCUCUUUCUUUCACCUCUUCAUUUAUCUGUAUAUUUUUAUUGCUUUACAACUAAAUAAGAUUUUUGUUCUUUUAUGGUUCACAAUAGUUCAGUUGCUAUAAUAUAUCUUUUUUU
rnacentral:lncRNA from 1 species